rnacentral:rRNA from 1 species
UUGGCGGUGGUUUAGUCUUGUCAGAGGAACCUGUCUUUUAAACGAUACACCACGAAAUAUCUUACUUGAGUUUGUAUAGUAUGUAUACCAUCAUUAUUAGGUAAUUUUUAUAGGAUAAAUUACUGGAAAGUUUCGAUAAUGUUGAAUAUAUUAGAUCAAGGUGCAGCUGAUACUCAAGUUAAGGUGGGUUACAAUAGUAUUUACGCUAUUACGGAUAAGUAAAUGAAACUUUACUUUGAAGGAGGAUUUGAUUGUAAAUUUAGUUUAAUAAGCUAAUUUGAUAUAAGCUCUAAAGCAUGUACACAUCGCCCG